rnacentral:rRNA from 1 species
UACGUAGGGGGCGAGCGUUGUCCGGAAUCAUUGGGCGUAAAGAGCGUGUAGGCGGCUCGAUAAGUCCGCUGUGAAAGUCCAGGGCUCAACCCUGGAAGGCCGGUGGAAACUGUCGGGCUAGAGUCCGGAAGAGGCGAGUGGAAUUCCCGGUGUAGCGGUGAAAUGCGCAGAUAUCGGGAGGAACACCAAUGGCGAAGGCAGCUCGCUGGGACGGUACUGACGCUGAGACGCGAAAGCGUGGGGAGCAAACAGG